GGCUUCGGUGGUGUAGCGGUAGCACGCCCCCCUCCCCUCUCCUGUAUGGGUGAAAUACGGGUUCAAUUCCCGCCUAAGGUCG